rnacentral:rRNA from 1 species
UACGAAGGGGGCUAGCGUUGUUCGGAAUUACUGGGCGUAAAGCGCACGUAGGCGGACAUUUAAGUCAGGGGUGAAAUCCCGGAGCUCAACUCCGGAACUGCCUUUGAUACUGGGUGUCUUGAGUGUGGAAGAGGUGAGUGGAAUUCCGAGUGUAGAGGUGAAAUUCGUAGAUAUUCGGAGGAACACCAGUGGCGAAGGCGGCUCACUGGCCUGUUCUUGACGCUGAGGCGCGAAAGCUAGGGGAGCAAACGGG